rnacentral:rRNA from 1 species
UACGUAGGUGGCAAGCGUUGUCCGGAAUUAUUGGGCGUAAAGGGCGCGUAGGCGGCGUCUUAAGUCAGAUGUGAAAUCCCCGGGCUUAACUCGGGAAUAGCAUCUGAUACUGGGACGCUAGAGUGCAGGAGAGGUAAGUGGAAUUCCUAGUGUAGCGGUGAAAUGCGUAGAUAUUAGGAGGAACACCAGUGGCGAAGGCGACUUACUGGACUGUAACUGACGCUGAGGCGCGAAAGCGUGGGGAGCAAACAGG